GAUUAAGUUAUUAAGGGCGCACGGUGGAUGCCUUGGCACUAGAAGCCGAUGAAGGACGUUACUAACGACGAUAUGCUUUGGGGAGCUGUAAGUAAGCUUUGAUCCAGAGAUUUCCGAAUGGGGAAACCCAGCAUGAGUUAUGUCAUGUUAUCGAUAUGUGAAUACAUAGCAUAUCAGAAGGCACACCCGGAGAACUGAAACAUCUUAGUACCCGGAGGAAGAGAAAGAAAAUUCGAUUCCCUUAGUAGCGGCGAGCGAAACGGGAAGAGCCCAAACCAACAAGCUUGCUUGUUGGGGUUGUAGGACACUCUAUACGGAGUUACAAAGGACGACAUUAGACGAAUCAUCUGGAAAGAUGAAUCAAAGAAGGUAAUAAUCCUGUAGUCGAAAAUGUUGUCUCUCUUGAGUGGAUCCUGAGUACGACGGAGCACGUGAAAUUCCGUCGGAAUCUGGGAGGACCAUCUCCUAAGGCUAAAUACUCUCUAGUGACCGAUAGUGAACCAGUACCGUGAGGGAAAGGUGAAAAGCACCCCGGAAGGGGAG
rnacentral:rRNA from 1 species